rnacentral:rRNA from 1 species
AUUGAACGCUGGCGGCAUGCUUUACACAUGCAAGUCGAACGGUAACAGGCCGCAAGAUGCUGACGAGUGGCGAACGGGUGAGUAAUGCAUCGGAACGUGCCCAGUCGUGGGGGAUAACGCAGCGAAAGCUGUGCUAAUACCGCAUACGAUCUAUGGAUGAAAGCGGGGGACCGUAAGGCCUCGCGCGAUUGGAGCGGCCGAUGUCAGAUUAGGUAGUUGGUGGGGUAAAGGCUCACCAAGCCGACGAUCUGUAGCUGGUCUGAGAGGACGACCAGCCACACUGGGACUGAGACACGGCCCAGACUCCUACGGGAGGCAGCAGUGGGGAAUUUUGGACAAUGAGCGCAAGCCUGAUCCAGCAAUGCCGCGUGCAGGAAGAAGGCCUUCGGGUUGUAAACUGCUUUUGUACGGAACGAAAAGGCUCUGGUUAAUACCUGGGGCUCAUGACGGUACCGUAAGAAUAAGCACCGGCUAACUACGUGCCAGCCGCCGCGGUAA